rnacentral:rRNA from 1 species
GUGGGGAAUAUUGGGCAAUGGGGGCAACCCUGACCCAGCGACGCCGCGUGAGGGAAGAAGGCCUUAGGGUCGUAAACCUCUGUUGUGUGGGAAGAAGGAAGUGACGGUACCACACGAGGAAGUCCCGGCUAACUACGUGCCAGCAGCCGCGGUAAUACGUAGGGGACGAGCGUUGUCCGGAAUUACUGGGCGUAAAGGGCGCGUAGGCGGUCAUUUAAGUCAGCUGUGAAAUGGUCCGGCUCAAGCGGAUCAUGCGGUUGCAAUGGGAUGACUGGAGUGCUGGGGAGGCAAGUGGAAUUCCCAGUGUAGCGGUGAAAUGCGUAGAUAUUGGGAAGAACACCGGUGGCGAAGGCGACUUGCUGGCCAGCAACUGACGCUGAGGCGCGAAAGCCAGGGGAGCAAACGGGAUUAGAUACCCGGGUAGUCC